GACGAACGCUGGCGGCGUGCCUAAUACAUGCAAGUAGAACGCUGAAGGAGGAGCUUGCUUCUCUGGAUGAGUUGCGAACGGGUGAGUAACGCGUAGGUAACCUGCCUGGUAGCGGGGGAUAACUAUUGGAAACGAUAGCUAAUACCGCAUAAGAGUAGAUGUUGCAUGACAUUUGCUUAAAAGGUGCAAUUGCAUCACUACCAGAUGGACCUGCGUUGUAUUAGCUAGUUGGUGGGGUAACGGCUCACCAAGGCGACGAUACAUAGCCGACCUGAGAGGGUGAUCGGCCACACUGGGACUGAGACACGGCCCAGGCUCCUACGGGAGGCAGCAGUAGGGAAUCUUCGGCAAUGGACGGAAGUCUGACCGAGCAACGCCGCGUGAGGGAAGAAGGUUUUCGGAUCGUAAAGCUCUGUUGUAAGAGAAGAACGAGUGUGAGAGUGGAAAGUUCACACUGUGACGGUAUCUUACCAGAAAGGGACGGCUAACUACGUG
rnacentral:rRNA from 1 species